rnacentral:rRNA from 1 species
CCUACGGGAGGCAGCAGUGGGGAAUAUUGCACAAUGGGGGAAACCCUGAUGCAGCAACGCCGCGUGAAGGAUGAAGGUUUUCGGUUUGUAAACCUCUUUUGUUAGGGAAGAAAAUGACGGUAUCUGACUAAUAAGCCCCGGCUAACUACGUGCCAGCAGCCGCGGUAAUACGGAGGGUGCAAGCGUUAUUCGGAAUGACUGGGUGUAAAGAGAGCGUAGGCGGGAUAGCAAGUCAGAUGUGAAAUCCUAGGGCUUAACCCUAGAACUGCAUUUGAAACUGUUAUGCUAGAGUAUGGGAGAGGUAGGUGGAAUUCCUUGUGUAGCGGUGAAAUGCGUAGAGAUCAAGAGGAACACUAGUGGCGAAGGCGACCUGCUAGACGAUAACUGACGCUGAGGCGCGAAAGCGUGGGGAGCAAACAGGAUUAGAUACCCCGGUAGUC